UUUUGAAGGCUGUCCUUUCCUGUAACUUCCACACAGAACCAGCUAGGGAUGUCAGUCAGCACAUACUCAGCAGGAAAUUUUUCCCAGCUCAGAAGUGCACCUUGCCUGCAGAACUUGAAGGAGUGAAUGGCAUCAAUAAGGAGCAUAAGAACAUCAGCCACCUCCUGGACAAUCAUCAUCUAAAGGACUCUGCACCUUUUGAGAAACACUGGAUGGGAAUUUCUGCUGCAUGCACAAAAUGACCUGAUAAAAGCUGAGAGUAUCAGGUCCUUUCUGCUGUUCCUAGCAAAAUAAGGCCAUUUAAAAAGGAAAAACUGAGCUAUAAUAAAGGUAAUGUAAACAGAAAUAGCUAUCAAAGGUUUUCAUUUUGAGAAUUGCUUUAAAUAAUUUUUAGUUUAAAUUAUAUUCAUAAUAUUAUUUAUGUAGUUGUAGAAGGUUACUUAAGAUGACUUUUCAUCCUUAUUUAUCUUGUACCUACAAGUGAUUUUACACACCAGUACUAGCUGUGAAUGCAAUGCACUGACUCUGUGGGCACAGGCUGGACUGUAAUUGUGGAUGUAGAUUAUUGGUGACAGACCAAAACACUGACUACUGGUGGAUAUUUCUUUUUUCAAUAUGUGGUAGCAGAAUGAAGAUGCUGUAGCUCUGUGCACAGAGGCAAAUCUCAGUUUCAGCCUGUGUGGAUGCAAUCAUUAUUUCCUUCUUGCUGACACUGCUUCACUAUUGAUCAUGCCAUGCAUUUCAGCAGGCUGGGUUGUGAUUUCAGCUGGUAAAUGUAAUAUCAGCCUCCAUGACAAUUACAGCUGAACACCAUUUGUUUUCUAUGAAAUACAGUAAAUUUUUAUAUUACAUUUGCUUCUGGCAUCCCCAGCACGGCUCAACCAGUGGUUUUGUGUCUCUGCUUAUCACAGAUUGUUUUUUUACCUUGCAGGUAUUUGUGGGCAUUUGUCACACGAGCCUCAGUGUGGAUGAUCCUGCUGUGGUGAUAAGAAUAAAGCAAAAGGGGAUGCUUGACAUGAUGUUUCCUGUCCAUAUCUGAUUAAGUGUGUUCUACCAGGGGCCAUCCAGCCCAAACCUCCCCAGCUAUUUGUGCAGUAUCUAGUACAGAUCCUUGGGGGGUGGGAAAAUCAGAACAGAGCAAAUGUAGCCUUGGAGAAGGAGCAGUUGGAGUCUGCACACAAUGAGGAGCAUUACUUAGAGCAGCAGAGCUUGGGCUUGGGACUGAAACCUAAAGGUAACAACUGAAAUUAUUUUAGAGCUGUUUUUUCACAGAAACUUCCCUGAGGCCCCAAACACUUUUUAUUCCUUCCCCUGUGCCAGAAGCACCAAUUCAUUCCCACACAGGAUUCAAAUUCUGCAGCUGUUCCCUCAAUAACUUUCACAAUGCAGUUAGUUAUUGCUAAUACAAAAAAUCUAUAGCACGCUAUAAAGUGGAAAUAUAAUACAAUAGAUUUAGGAGCUGGGUACCUCUCUGAAGACUUAAGGAAGCCAUACAGGAACCGUGCAGGAUUUGUAUGGCAAAUUUAAAAUUUCCUGAUGGCAAAGCAUCAACAUAACUUGUUUUAUGACAUCUUCUUCCUCUCCACAGAGGGAGCAACCUGAAUUGGUGGGGGAAGGAAAAUGAAAGAGGAUAUGGACCCAGUUUGCCCCCAGAGACCCACUGGGCUCUGCACUGCUCACAAAGGGAGGAUGCUCCUGGAUCUGGGCUCCUCCUCAGCUCCUGCAGCAGCAACAUCUUUAGAUCACCCUGAAUAUUGAAAUGGAAAACAUGGAAAAUGUGCAGUGUCUGUUACUGAGCUUCAGAAUUUCCUUUAACUGCUACCAAAUUGCUGCUUCACUGGGAACUUUAAUAGACAGAGCCAGCCCCAGCUAUGAUGAAGUGUGACAGGUUCUCUUUCUUUGCCUAUAAAUUCUUAAUGGUAGAUAAUCAGAAACUUUUUACUGAAAGAUCUUCUUCAGUGUUACUUUCCAUUUCAGUUAUUUAAAGUGGAAUUCUUCUUCCUCAUUUAGCUCUGGAUUAUGUAAUUUAACCUGAUGUAACACAGAACAGAACUUCGUCUUAUGGAGGAUGGAAAAAAAUUUAUAUCUGCACCUACAAAAUAUACAUCUAAUUAUUGCAACAGUUCAGGGACCUGUUGUUUAAACAAUUUAUUGCAUAACAUAUUGAAGUAAUCUCACUCAAAAUACCUAGUACUGCCAUUUAUUUUCUAUUUGUUAGACUGAUGUCAGUUCCAAAAGCAAACCAGAGACUUUUUAGAUUUUUUUAUUUUAAAAGAUAUUUACUUGUGGCUGUUCAAUCAAUGUGCAUCUUCCGUUGUCACAUUUGGUUAUAAAAACCACAGUAUUUUGAUAUAAAGUCACAAAUUCAUCACAAAAUGUUGUGCUACCUUCAAAACUUAGCUCGUCUUCAUUUAUUAAAUGUUACUUAUUAGUUAUUUAUUUAUUAACCAGUUAAAUAUGGGUUGUGUUUAGUGGUCAUGGUUUCAGUCCAGCAUCUGCUCAGUCAGGAGCCACCUUCCAUGAGUUCCUUAAAUGUCCUGGGCCCAUCAGGCCAUAAAAAACCACCCCAAGUGGAAAUAAAAGUUUUGACUCCAGAA